UGCAGUCGAGCGGAAGGCCCUUCGGGGUACUCGAGCGGCGAACGGGUGAGUAACACGUGAGUAACCUGCCCUUGGCUCUGGGAUAAGCCCGGGAAACUGGGUCUAAUACCGGAUAUGACCCUCCACCGCAUGGUGCGAGGGUGGAAAGUUUUUCGGCUGAGGAUGGACUCGCGGUCUAUCAGCUUGUUGGUGGGGUGAUGGCCUACCAAGGCGACGACGGAUAGCCGGCCUGAGAGGGUGACCGGCCACACUGGGACUGAGACACGGCCCAGACUCCUACGGGAGGCAGCAGUGGGGAAUAUUGCGCAAUGGGCGGAAGCCUGACGCAGCGACGCCGCGUGGGGGAUGAAGGCCUUCGGGUUGUAAACCUCUUUCACCACCGACGAAGCUAACGUGACGGUAGGUGGGGAAGAAGCGCCGGCUAACUACGUGCCAGCAGCCGCGGUAAUACGUAGGGCGCAAGCGUUGUCCGGAAUUAUUGGGCGUAAAGAGCUCGUAGGUGGUUUGUCACGUCUGCCGUGAAAACCCGAGGCUUAACCUCGGGCCUGCGGUGGAUACGGGCAGACUAGAGGUAGGUAGGGGAGAACGGAAUUCCCGGUGUAGCGGUGAAAUGCGCAGAUAUCGGGAGGAACACCGGUGGCGAAGGCGGUUCUCUGGGCCUUACCUGACGCUGAGGAGCGAAAGCGUGGGGAGCGAACAGGAUUAGAUACCCUGGUAGUCCACGCCGUAAACGUUGGGCGCUAGGUGUGGGGUCCUUCCACGGACUCCGUGCCGUAGCUAACGCAUUAAGCGCCCCGCCUGGGGAGUACGGCCGCCAGGCUAAAACUCAAAGGAAUUGACGGGGGGCCCGCACAAGCGGCGGAGCAUGUUGCUUAAUUCGACGCAACGCGAAGAACCUUACCAAGGUUUGACAUCACCGGGAAACUCGCAGAGAUGCGGGGUCCUUUUGGGCCGGUGAC
rnacentral:rRNA from 1 species